ensembl:processed_transcript
AUUGUAAGACGUAUUAACAUUUCAGAAUUAAAGACAUCUAACAGAAACUCUGUAAGACAUCAAGCUAGACGCUGGCGUGAACCUUCACCAAGAGCUGAUCCUUCACUCCUCUCCCUGGAGCAGUUGUUGAAGGUAUUGAACAAAUGA